rnacentral:rRNA from 1 species
CCUACGGGGGGCAGCAGUGGGGAAUAUUGCACAAUGGGGGAAACCCUGAUGCAGCGACGCCGCGUGAGUGAAGAAGUAAUUCGUUACGUAAAGCUCUAUCAGCAGGGAAGAAACACUGACCUUACGGUCAGCAGACGGUACCUGAGUAAGAAGCCCCGGCUAACUACGUGCCAGCAGCCGCGGUAAUACGUAGGGGGCAAGCGUUAUCCGGAAUUACUGGGUGUAAAGGGAGCGUAGACGGUGAUGUAAGUCUGGAGUGAAAGGCGGGGGCCCAACCCCCGGACUGCUCUGGAAACUAUGUGACUGGAGUGCAGGAGAGGUGAGCGGAAUUCCUAGUGUAGCGGUGAAAUGCGUAGAUAUUAGGAGGAACACCAGUGGCGAAGGCGGCUCACUGGACUGUAACUGACGUUGAGGCUCGAAAGCGUGGGGAGCAAACAGGAUUAGAUACCCUGGUAGUC